GUGCCAGCAGCCGCGGUAAUACGGAGGGUGCGAGCGUUAAUCGGAAUUACUGGGCGUAAAGCGCAUGCAGGUGGUUUGUUAAGUCAGAUGUGAAAGCCCUGGGCUCAACCUAGGAGUUGCAUUUGAAACUGACAAGCUAGAGUACUGUAGAGGGGGGUAGAAUUUCAGGUGUAGCGGUGAAAUGCGUAGAGAUCUGAAGGAAUACCGGUGGCGAAGGCGGCCCCCUGGACAGAUACUGACACUCAGAUGCGAAAGCGUGGGGAGCAAACAGGAUUAGAUACCCUGGUAGUCCACGCCGUAAACGAUGUCUACUUGGAGGUUGUGGCCUUGAGCCGUGGCUUUCGGAGCUAACGCGUUAAGUAGACCGCCUGGGGAGUACGGUCGCAAGAUUAAA
rnacentral:rRNA from 1 species